rnacentral:rRNA from 1 species
AACAAACGCUGGCGGCGUGCCUAAUACAUGCAAGUCGAACGGGUAGCAAUACCAGUGGCGCACGGGUGAGGAAUACAUAGAUAAUCUGCCUUCGAGUCGGGGAUAACCAGUCGAAAGAUUGGCUAAUACCGGAUAAGACCACAGGAGCUGAGGCUCUAGGGGUUAAAGGUUUUUCGCUUGAAGAUGAGUCUAUGCGAGAUUAGCUAGUUGGUGAGGUAAUGGCUCACCAAGGCGACGAUCUCUAACUGGUCUUAGAGGAUGAUCAGUCACACUGGAACUGAGACACGGUCCAGACUCCUACGGGAGGCAGCAGUAGGGAAUAUUGCGCAAUGGGGGAAACCCUGACGCAGCGACGCCGCGUGAGUGAUGAAGGCCUUCGGGUCGUAAAGCUCUGUCGUAUGGGAAUAACACAAUGAAUGUACCAUGCAAGAAAGGAUCGGCUAACUUCGUGCCAGCAGCCGCAGUAA